GAUAUAUUACAUCUUCUGCAUAACCUCCAACUGAAAUAAAGAGCUGAUUGGAUAAUAUUGAUUGAUGGAAUGAUUGGAUUAGAAAUUUUGCACAGCACUAAGGCAAAUAGAGGACCUCAAAUAAAGUGCAAAUAGGGAAAAGGGCCAGGUAAGCUUCCCCCAAGGGUGUCUUGCAAUCCUGAGGAUGUGGUGGAUCAGGAGGAAUGACUGUCAUCGUUGAUGGUGUGACUGCAACAUGGUGCAGCCACCUUGGAAGACGGUUGGGUGGCUUCUUAUAAACUAAACCUACUCUUACUCUGUGAUCCAGCAGCCAUGCCCCUUGGUAUUUACCCAAAGGAGUUUAAAAGUUAUGACCACACAGAAAUCUGCACACGCAUGUUUAUAGCAGCUACAUUUGUAAUUACCAAGAGCUUGGAAGCAACCAACAUGUCUUUCAGUAAGUGAAUAGAUAAAUAUACCGCGAUACAUCUAGACAGUAGCAUACUAUCCAUCAUUAAAAAGAAAUGAGCUAACAACCCAUGAAAAGACCUGGAGAAAACGUAAAUGCAUAUUACUAAGUGAAAGAUGUCAAUGUACAAAGGCUACAUACUGUAUGAUUCCGACUCUGUGAUUUUUCUGGAAAAGACAGAAAUCUGGAAAUAGUAAAGUCAGUGUCUGUCAGGGGUUGAGGGGACUGGAGGGAUAAAUAGGGGGAGCAAAGAGGUGACUACUCUGAGUGAUGCUACAAUGAUAUAUGUCACAUGUCCAAACCCAAAGAAUGUACAACCCCAAGAGUGAACCCUAAAAUAAACCGUGGACUCUGGGUGAUGAUGUUGCAUCCAUGUAGGGUCAUCCAUUGGGAAAAAAUGUACAAUCUGGUUGCAGGGGGAGCCUGUUCACCAAGUGAGAGGCUGUGGCGGGGGAAAAGGCUGGGGAUGUAUUUAUCUUUCUCUCAAUCUUGCUGUCAACCUAAAACUGCUCUAAAAAAUAAAUUCUUGUUUUCAAAAAUAAGAUUGAAUCCAUCCAAUGUUCUAAAAAUAGAUCAGCAGAAGAGAAUAAGGGCCAAGCCUGUGUGUACAUGAAAGACACAGGUUUGAUUGGCAGAUAUACCAGCGUGGUGGGGGAAGCUGGGCUGUUCAGAACAGGUGCAUAAAAACUAUUACUCACAUGGAAAAUAUAUCAAACUGGAUUCCUGGCUUUCAUCCCAUUCACACACACACUCACGCACACACAUACACACACCACUUCAGAUGGAUGCAAUACUUAAAUGUGGGAAAAAAUCACCUUUAUAAUAUCUUUGUGAUAAAGUUCUUAACUUGGAAGUAAGUUAUUAAUAGAAAGACAAAGACAAGCCACAACACGAAAAAGAUACUUGAACCACAUAGCCGCAUUAAUAUCCACAACACAUUAAAAACUCCAAAUUCUCCUGUAAGCCUGUAAAUAGUCCAUAGGGAGGGGGAAAAAACUUGAAUAGAUGUUUUACUGAUGAUUAAUUAUAUUUUAACCAUAAACAUAUAAAAACUUGCUCCAUCUAAUAAUUUGAGAUAUGAACUUUGAAACCAAAAUGAGAUACUAUUUAAACUAGGCAAAACUUCAAAAGUUGGCUUAUACCUAAGUUUGGGGAGGAAGUGGCUCAAAGAAAGUUCUUACUCAUGGCUAGAAACCUGAAAUUAGUAUCAUCACCUCCAAAAAUGGUUUGGUGUAUCUUGGUAAAUCUGAACAUUGUGUUAUCUGCCCAUGUAGCCAUUGUUUAUUUCGAAGUAUCUUUCCUAUAGAAACUCUCAAAUCGGUGCCAGAGGGUAUAUCUUAAUGUGAUAGGAUCACUGUUCUUAGUAUUUCCCCAUUGGAAACAACUUUAGCUCUUGCAACAGAGUCAACUCAGGUCCAGCCACAGACUGGAGCCCCACAGGGAAAAGACAUGGGCCAUGGCUCCAGGUGUCAGCGUGGAUGUGCUGUGGGAAAACAAAGUGUACAUUUUAUUAUUUUGUCUGCAUCAAAUUUUACAUUUUGUGAAAGAUAUCAUGUUAGUAUGGGCAUGCUCUCUGAACAUGUAUACUAAGUUUGUAGCAAUUUGUAAUGUAAGGCAGUAAAGGAACAUUGUGUCCGAGGCACAGCUCUAAGGGAAGAUGGAGUGACUCAGAGUGAAGGCCAGCCUGGUGGCACUGGCCUCCAUCCCCUGUAUAAUUGUGCUGAAUUCUGUGUCUGUUUUGAUUGCAUUCUUCCUGAUGAGCACAUAUCGACACAUUCUUGCUGAGGUGUUAUCUUCUCAGAUGCCUUGGGAUUGUGAAGAGGGAAGACCCAAGAGCAAGUGUUUGUUUUGAUGGAGAGACAGUGGGCUGUGACAUUCUGGCUGAAAACCCUUUCUUCAAUUUUGGGCAAAUCAGUUAGUCUUGCUAACUUUGAAAUAAUUUAUAGUUAAAAUUACAAUAGUGAUAUCUACCCUCAAUAGUUAUAUCUACCCUCCCUGAGUUGGAGGGAGAAGAAGGAUAUAAUUAUCUCUUGUUUAUCCCAUCCUCCAAAAGGGAGAGAAAAAAUGUCCAAUCUGUUACUAGAUCAUCUUUGAGGUUAAUUCCUGAUCUACUUCAGUCAGAAUCAAUUCAUUUAUUAAUACAUUACUGGCUCCGUGGUGACAAACCCAGACAGUAUCCAUGAGGAUGUAGGUUCAACACCUGGCCUUGCUCAGUGGGUCAAGGAUCAAUACUUUUCCUUGAGCUGUGGUGUAGGUCACAGACGCAGCUUGGAUCUGGCAUUGCUGUGGCUGUGGUGCAGGCUGGAAGCACCUGCAGCUCCAGUUCAACCCCUAGCCUGGGAACUUCCACAUGCCAUGGGAGCAGCUCUAAAAAUCAAAUAAAAAAAAAUUAGGAAACUGCUUGUCUGCUUUGUAUUUGUAUGCAAUAAGCAUUCUAGCAUGUUUUGUUUUGUGGUGGUUUUUUUCGUUUUGGUUUUUUUGCCAUGUCCUUGGCAUGCCUGGACCAGGGAUCAGACAUAACUGUCUACAAUGACAAAAAGACUUAGGAAGGCAUGCUUAAAAUCAAUGCAAUUGACAAAAAAAAAAAAAAAAAAAUACUUGAUUGCUGCCAUGUCGUACAACACUUUAAGAUAAUAACUAAAAUUAUGACUGACAACAUUUUACCAGAACAUGCAAGAUUUUUAGGAAUUCCAUAUAAUUUAUAGGAUGUAGAAAUGCCUACUGUGUUGUUUAACUAGUGUAGACUCCACACCUUUACAAGGGUGAGCUGUUUGCCCCUGAACACAGCGAGCAAACGCUCUUGAGGCUGGUAAAUUGGAGAACUGACCUCAGCAGAAUAGGGAGGACAAGCCACCUGGCUACUUAAUAUCUCAUUGAAGUCAAUGUCUUUUUUGAGCAUUUCCUUGGCACACCUUACCUACUUAAUACAGUCCAUAUUCCUUUCCACGAUAUUUUUUUCACCAAUUCUCUAGUUUUGUUUUCGUGAGUCAUAGACUAUUUGGCUAAACCAUUAAGUGGACCCCAUGAUUCAAAUAUGACCCAUAUCUCUGGGCAUCUCUGAAUCUGGGAAAAGGGGAAAAUCAGAUUUAUUUUUUUUUAAUUCUGUCCAACAAGUAGAGUUCCACUUGCCACACCCCUUUUUCUUAUUUAUGGAGUAUUAAUGGAAUUCUAGUCCUAGAGCAUUCUGUUUCUUGCUGGUGACUGCUGCCAGGCAGCAGUAAAACAAGCCUGAGUACUCCCCACCAUCAGCUGCUAAAAGGGAAGUACUCAUAAAUCAUAGGUGCCAGUUGGGAAAAAAAAACAGCAGUGCAACAAAAGUCAAUGCAGUGGGACUCUGAGCCACCUAUUUAAUUCAGCUCCUUUAGGACUUCAAGAACCACUCAAGCAUCAUUAUGUAUACCAGAUACAUAUAUCACCUACCUGGGCUUCUCUUAGCUCAGUCAAGUUGGCACGUGCAAUUAACCACCACAUGUGGAGUGGUGAGGACUACCACCAUAGCAUAGAUUGGGCAGCCUGAGAACUGAGCAUUUUAUUAUUCAUGUCUUUUUAAAAUUUCAUGUUUAUGAAGUUUCUUUAAUAUCAUCCCUGAUAAUUUUUUUAAGCCCACUUAAAAACUUGAGUGAUGGGACUGUGUUUGCCAUUGAAAUUGUCAUGCCACUUUUUAUUUUCAGCAUCUGUUUCUCAUUCAUUUUUAAUGUGAAUUUUAGUCACAGCAUUUCAGUUUUUUAAUGGCAUUAUUUUAACAAUAUGAAACAUAUUGUCAUGUAUUAGUUUUCCUUUUCUCUGCUUUGAAAAUGCAGAGAAAUAAACAGAAAUUAGGCAUUAACAAAUUUUUCACUCUGUCUACCCAUCCAUUUAACAAAUGGCUAUCAUGUCAUGCCCUGCAGAUACUAAGAUAAAUAAAACAUAAUUACUAUACAGUCAGCCAAGAUACCUACUACAGAGGGAGCCAGUGUUGAUGACAUUGGGGUAUGAGUCCCUGACCCAUAUAUAAGAAGAAACAGAUGCUUGAUUCUGCACAAAUAGCAGCUGAUUUUAUUUCUUUGUGCCCACAGAUUUAUGCGCUAUGAAAUAAUAUCUGUCUCUAAGGUCACUUUUAAAUAUUGACUUCAAAAUUAACUGUGACUAUUUGACUCCUAUUCCCCAGCCAAACCCUUUUACUCUCUCAUUUACAGGAUGUAAAUACACCCAGAUUCAUUACAUUGGAGUUUUCUUAUACCAGCCAUCAUGAUGUUUGACUGAACCCAUAUGUUUUGAUGCAAUUCAGCAACAUUCAGGUGAGACUUGUGGGCCCCAAUUAUAUUGCAAUCACUGUAAGAUUCCAAAGGUAGUACUCUAUCUACUUAGGGCAUUUCCAUUUGUUUAUAUGCAACAGUGAUAAUGCUGCAGGAUGGGAACAGUGGAGUGGAAGGAGCAGUAUAAGAGAUCCUGGGUCAGGACACCUGAAACUCAGUCCCAGCUGUGUUUUUCAAGUCAGAAAUAACAAGGGAGAUGCCUUUUUUAAGUGCCUGGCUUAUAGCAAGUGUUUGAUUGACGAUGGUAGUUCAUGUUAUAUCGUGAUUGCAGUUAGAAUUCUUACAAGUUCGUGCAUGACACAGAGCCCAGCACCUGUUAUACAACAAAUCUGCAGUAAAAUAUGACCAGAUGAUACAGGCAUUAGGUCUUUUGUUGUAGGUCCUUGAGUUUCUAUUCAUCUUUGUUCAGUCUCUGUUGCUCACAUUGGGUAUUUCCUAUUGGUCUGUAUCCAAGCUCACUGACUGCUUCCUCUGUCCCUUCAUUUGUCAGUCAAACCCAUCCAUUGAAUUUUUUUCUUUUAAUUUGGUUAUUGAAUUCUCACUUCUAAAGUUUUCAUUUGAUUCUAUUUUCAUGUCUGAGACAUUUUGUUUUGCAUUUGUUUCCAGUUUGUUUGUGGUCACUUGAAGCAUUUUGAGGGCG
rnacentral:lncRNA from 1 species